AUAGGAAUCGUAACAUUUACUCUAAAAAAUAAAACGAAUAUAAAAUGAAAUAAAUGAUCCUAGAGAGAUUUUUUGUAGAAAUUAUUAUCAUCUAGUAUAACUAUUUAACAAAAUUACGGAGUUAAAUGCAUUUUUAUCUAAUUAACUACACCAAAUAAUAAUCAAAAAUGGGACCCCAAAAGUUAGUAUUUUAGUGGAGACCUGAGACAGUUGCCUUUUUUUCUAUGCCUAUGGCACGGCUCUGGCUGCAUAGGUCCUCAUACUAUAUUACUAUACAAUAAUCUCACUCAAAAUUAAUUA
rnacentral:lncRNA from 1 species